rnacentral:rRNA from 1 species
CCUCCCUCUGGCGGCGUGCUUAACACAUGCAAGUCGAACGGAAAGGCCCUGCUUUUGUGGGGUGCUCGAGUGGCGAACGGGUGAGUAACACGUGAGUAACCUGCCCUUGACUUUGGGAUAACUUCAGGAAACUGGGGCUAAUACCGGAUAGGAGCUCCUGCUGCAUGGUGGGGGUUAGAAAGUUUCGGCGGUUGGGGAUGGACUCGCGGCUUAUCGGCUUGUUGGUGGGGUAGUGGCUUACCAAGGCUUUGACGGGUAGCCGGCCUGAGAGGGUGACCGGCCACAUUGGGACUGAGAUACGGCCCAGACUCCUACGGGAGGCAGCAGUGGGGAAUAUUGCACAAUGGGCGGAAGCCUGAUGCAGCAACGCCGCGUGCGGGAUGACGGCCUUCGGGUUGUAAACCGCUUUCGCCUGUGACGAAGCGUGAGUGACGGUAAUGGGUAAAGAAGCACCGGCUAACUACGUG